CAGUCGCCACGGUAAUACGUAGGUGGCAAGCGUUAUCCGGAAUUAUUGGGCGUAAAGCGCGCGUAGGCGGUUUUUUAAGUCUGAUGUGAAAGCCCACGGCUCAACCGUGGAGGGUCAUUGGAAACUGGAAAACUUGAGUGCAGAAGAGGAAAGUGGAAUUCCAUGUGUAGCGGUGAAAUGCGCAGAGAUAUGGAGGAACACCAGUGGCGAAGGCGACUUUCUGGUCUGUAACUGACGCUGAUGUGCGAAAGCGUGGGGAUCAAACAGGAUUAGAUACCCGCGUAGUCCCUGUCUCUUAUAC
rnacentral:rRNA from 1 species